GAGGAAUGCAGAAUACUGGUCCCCAAUGGUCUGUGCUACCCAAGGGACAGCAAUUUAGAACCCAUUCCUGUGAGGCCUGGGAAGGCCAGAUUCCUUCAAGAUGACAAGCAGUCCAGAGAAGACUGGUAAGCACUCUGUACAAGAAUGCAGGAUAAAAAUAUAUUCACAAAUAUGUGCAGCCAGCAAGUGGAUGUGUCACAGAAGCUAAGGCUUUCAUUAGAAGGAGUCAUUACUCUCAAGGAAACUUUCCAGUCUGACCAUUCAGGACCUACUCUGUCAGUCACACUCGGACCAAAGCCCUUUUGCAGCGGGCGGCUCCACGGAGUCAACAGGUGCCUUGCCUGACUCCCUACACAUCCCACACUCAGCCAGACCAGGUUUCCUUACUGGCUCAAACUGGGGUUUCCCAUAGCAGAGGCUCAGACAUCUGGAUCCUUAAAAUAAUUUAAUCUUCAUACAAUAACAGAAUGACAGCUUGAGUGUGGUGCCUCCGAGGAGGGAGCCCGAACAAAGGAAACCCUGGGAUUUUAUCCCCUCACAGUCUUCACAAAAAAGUCCUCAGCAGGUGUUUAUUCAUCUUAAUUUCAAACACAUGCCCCACAAGCACCUGUUGCACUUCACUUGCUCUUCAAGGAUUUUUGCUCAUUGAAGGUCAUCAGUUCCCCAGACAACACUCGCUGCCUAUAUUGUACUCUCCGGCCAAGAUCCAAGAUACAGCAGACAUUUCCUUUCGAAAAGAAGAGAAGAAUGUGAUAUAGGGAAAUUUAUACUUAACUUUGACUGUGCACCAAGUGCUUAAAUAUUGUAAAGAAUCUCAUCUUUUUAAUGGGAGGGAAGGCAUGUCAUAUUUAGAAAGUGGCUCCCAGCUCACACAUCUGUGUAAUUUGAUUCAGUUUGGAAAUAAAAGCAGAUGAAAAUCUGA